GACGAACGCUGGCGGCGUGCUUAACACAUGCAAGUCGAACGGAAAGGCCCUGCUUUUGUGGGGUGCUCGAGUGGCGAACGGGUGAGUAACACGUGAGUAACCUGCCCUUGACUUUGGGAUAACUUCAGGAAACUGGGGCUAAUACCGGAUAGGAGCUCCUGCUGCAUGGUGGGGGUUGGAAAGUUUCGGCGGUUGGGGAUGGACUCGCGGCUUAUCAGCUUGUUGGUGGGGUAGUGGCUUACCAAGGCUUUGACGGGUAGCCGGCCUGAGAGGGUGACCGGCCACAUUGGGACUAAGAUACGGCGCAGACUCCUACGGGAGGCAGCAGUGGGGAAUAUUGCACAAUGGGCGGAAGCCUGAUGCAGCAACGCCGCGUGCGGGAUGACGGCCUUCGGGUUGUAAACCGCUUUCGCCUGUGACGAAGCGUGAGUGACGGUAAUGGGUAAAGAAGCACCGGCUAACUACGUG
rnacentral:rRNA from 1 species